CGCGAAUAGCUCAUUACAACAGCUAUAAUUUACUUGAUCUUGACAAUCCUACUUGGAUAACUGUGGUAAUUCUAGAGCUAAUACAUGCACCAAAGCUCUGACCUUGCGGGAAGAGUGCAUUUAUUAGAACAAAACCAAGCGGCUUCGGUCGUUUUUUGUUGACUCAGAAUAACUAAGCUGAUCGCAUGGUCUUGUACCGGCGACGUGUCUUUCAAGUAUCUGCCUUAUCAACUUUCGAUGGUGGUGUAUCUGACUACCAUGGUUGUGACGGGUAACGGAGGAUAAGGGUUCGACUCCGGAGAAGGGGCCUGAGAAAUGGCCACUACGUCUAAGGAUGGCAGCAGGCGCGCAAAUUACCCACUCUCAGAACGAGGAGGUAGUGACGAAAAAUAACGAGACCGUUCUCUACGAGGCCGGUCAUCGGAAUGGGUACAAUCUAAACCCUUUAACGAGUAUCUAUGAGAGGGCAAGUCUGGUGCCAGCAGCCGCGGUAAUUCCAGCU
rnacentral:rRNA from 1 species